GGGGCAUGCGAGGGCUGUCGCUGACUCAAAGUCGUGCACGCCCGAGUGUGUCGCCUCACAUAAUAAUCCAUCUCACCCUUUGUGCAUCACCGCGUGGGCACCCCUUUGGGAUCAUCUCGGAGGGGGCUCGCGUUUUCACACAAAACCCCCCUUUUAAAAGUGUAGAAUGACCUCAUUUAUGCGCUAACCCGCAAUCAAUACAACUUUCAACAACGGAUCUCUUGGCUCUCGCAUCGAUGAAGAACGCAGCGAAAUGCGAUACGUAAUGUGAAUUGCAGAAUUCAGUGAAUCAUCGAAUCUUUGAACGCACCUUGCGCCCCCUGGUAUUCCGAGGGGCACACCCGUUUGAGUGUCGUGAAAACCUCAACCUCCUUGGUUUCUUCUGGAGACCAAAGCAGGCUUGGACUUUGGAGGCCUUUGCUGGCACCUCUCGCCAGCUCCUCUUAAAUGAAUUAGCAGGGUCCUCUUUGCUGAUCCUCGACGUGUGAUAAGAUGUUUCCAUGUCUUGGUUUCUGGCUCUGUCACCUUUGGGACCCGCUUCUAACCGUCUUCAACCUUGCGUUGAGACAACGUUCGAGCAUGUCUCCCUUCUCGGGAAGCUCCCUCGACCCCACGAACCCNUGAC
rnacentral:rRNA from 1 species